rnacentral:rRNA from 1 species
GACGAACGCUGGCGGCGUGCUUAACACAUGCAAGUCGAACGGGAGUAUCGAAGAAGCUUGCUUUUAAGAUACUUUAGUGGCGGACGGGUGAGUAACGCGUGAGGAGCUGUCCUAUGCAGGGGGACAACAGUUGGAAUCGACUGCUAAUACCCCAUAAGCCGAGAGGUAAAAGGAUUUAUCCGGCAAAGGAGGUACUCGCGUCCUGUCAGCUAGUAGGUGAGGUAACGGCUCACCUAGGCGAAGACGGGUAGCCGGCCUGAGAUGGCGAACGGCCACACUGGAACUGAGAUACGGUCCAGACUCCUACGGGCGGCAGCAGUGGGGAAUAUUGGGCAAUGGGGGCAACCCUGACCCAGCGACGCCGCGUGGGUGAAGAAAUCCUUCGGGAUGUAAAGCCCUGUUGUAUGGGAAGAGCAGAAGACGGUACCAUACGAGGAAGCCCCGGCAAACUACGUGCCAGCAGCCGCAGUAAUAC